GGGCCCGCACAAGCGGUGGAGCAUGUGGUUUAAUUCGAUGCAACGCGAAGAACCUUACCAGGGUUUGACAUCCUGCGAACCUCUUGGAAACGAGAGGGUGCCUUCGGGAACGCAGUGACAGGUGGUGCAUGGCUGUCGUCAGCUCGUGUCGUGAGAUGUUGGGUUAAGUCCCGCAACGAGCGCAACCCACGUCUUUAGUUGCCAGCAUUUAGUUGGGCACUCUAGAGAGACCGCCGGUGAUAAACCGGAGGAAGGUGUGGAUGACGUCAAGUCAUCAUGCCCCUUACAUCCUGGGCUACACACGUACUACAAUGCUACGGACAAAGGGCAGCAAGUUCGCGAGGACAAG
rnacentral:rRNA from 1 species